rnacentral:rRNA from 1 species
CAUCUAGGCGGCCAACUAAGUCUGAUGUUAAAAUGCGGGGCUCAACCCCGGAAGUGCAUUUGAUACUGUCAGGCUUGAGUAUGGGAGAGGGAAGUGGAAUUCCUGGUGUAGAGGUGAAAUUCGUAGAUAUCAGGAGGAACACCGGUGGCGAAGGCGACUUCCUGGACCAAUACUGACGCUGAGGUGCGAAGGCGUGGGUAGCAAACA